rnacentral:rRNA from 1 species
CACGUAGGGCGCAAGCGUUGUCCGGAAUUAUUGGGCGUAAAGAGCGUGUAGGCGGCCAGACAGGUCCGUUGUGAAAACUCGAGGCUCAACCUCGAGACGCCGAUGGAAACCGUCUGGCUAGAGUCCGGAAGAGGAGAGUGGAAUUCCUGGUGUAGCGGUGAAAUGCGCAGAUAUCAGGAAGAACACCCGUGGCUAAGGCGGCUCUCUAGUACGGUACUGACGCUGAGACGCGAAAGCGUGGGGAGCGAACAGG